GAUGAAGAACGUAGCGAAAUGCGAUAAGUAAUGUGAAUUGCAGAAUUCAGUGAAUCAUCGAAUCUUUGAACGCACAUUGCGCCCGCCAGUAUUCUGGCGGGCAUGCCUGUCCGAGCGUCAUUUCAACCCUCGAACCCCUCCGGGGGGGCGGCGUUGGGGAUCGGCCCUGCCUCUUGGCGGUGGCCGUCUCCGAAAUACAGUGGCGGUCUCGCCGCAGCCUCUCCUGCGCAGUAGUUUGCACACUCGCAUCGGGAGCGCGGCGCGUCCACAGCCGUUAAACACCCAACUUCUGAAAUGUUGACCUCGGAUCAGGUAGGAAUACCCGCUGAACUUAAGCAUAUCAAUAAGCGGAGGA
rnacentral:misc_RNA from 1 species